UCUUAGGAAAACUAAUUUCAGAAUACAAUUGUGAUGAUGAGAUUGUUGAGCUGUAAACAAGUGGCAAACGACUCAUGGCAAACGUGAAUAUUGCUGAAAUGCUUCCAAAAAGAGGUGACUGAGGGGCUGGGGAUUUAGCUCAGUGGUAGAGCACUUAGCCCUGGGUUCGGUCCCCAGCUCCGGAAAAAAAAGAACCAAAAAAAAAAAAAAGGGGGUGACUGAAUGACAACCAUGAAAGACCCGAUUCUUUCCUAUUUAGCCAAAUAGACCCCGCUUAAUUCCCUCGGGUUCUGGAACUCCUAGAUUUGCAUUAACCUGACCCUUGCUUUCUGCAAAUGUCACCCACCCUCCAAAAGAAGGAUUUCGCCACAGUACGGAGAGGAGGGUCUUGGAGUGAGGUGUCCUUGAGGCUGUGAGAAUUUUUACAGCUUUUCUUCUGCCAGCUUUCUGUAGAAUUUUAUUGGCAUUCUGAGUGAGAAGGGACAUUUUGGGUUGUGAGGAACAGACUGGAACUCCGUCACGCGUUAACAUCCCUGUACGCCAACCCAAUAAAUGCUGGUUUGUAACAGCCAAAGGCAAACAACCAACUCUGUCAGACAUUCCCAGACACUCCCUGGAGGGCGGAUACAGUUCCUGGUUGGAAACUUAGGAUUGUGCUAAGAGAACAGGGCGUGUCUGGGGCAGGGUGUGGGGGUUUGUGGAAGUAGAUUCUUUCUAUUCCACGCUGAGGCUGAGCUUCUGAGUUCUGAUCUACAAGCACCUAACAAAAUGCCGUGGCUGAAGAGGAGCUCCGUAAAUAUUCGCUUAAUUAACUGUCAUGUCUUGAUUCUUGUGUGCUCACUUAGGCUUCUGAAAAGCAUGAGGUGGGCUUAAUUCAAAGCCAUGGUACUGCUGUGCACUCAGAAAGUAUUAAUUGGUGCUGAUGAAAAGGUAAACCGCUUUGGGUUAGACGAAAACAAGUGAGAAAGGCUGCAAACUCUUGGCUUUUGCCUCUGUUGCCUUUGGAGGGACUGAUUUGUGCAGUCCCAGGGUUAAUCACUUGUCCUAUCACAUCAGGCACCAGAGUGUAUUCAGGUCACUGAGCAGUUGCGGGGGUGGCUGAGAGGCUUCCUGGGGCUUCAGCCAGGGGCUCAGGCUGCUGGCAGCACACACAGCCAUACUUUUAAGGAACGGAAAACUUGGUAAGUAUGCCAAAGUAAGAAAGAGGACCAGGUCAGGCUAGAUCCCAGAAUUAAGCACCCAGGGCUGGGAGGCCUGGAGAUGAAGUGGACACAGCAGGAAGAGGACUUACUUUGAGCCAAUAAUGAGACUGGGGCCAGGGUGAUGCGUCCCUUUCCAGGGUUUAUUUUCAAGGUCCUUGAAGCUCUUGUUGCUUCUGAGACUGAGGACAGUUUCUUGCUGAUACAGGAAAGAUAAGAUGGUGUCAAGGACUGAAGUGUUCAUUAUUCUCAGUAAGUUGGGAUCAGGGACUCUGACUCCUUCUCCUAAGGACUAAGACAUCAUACUUUUAAUUCACAGAUAGAUCACCAAAGGAUUAAAAAACGCAGGACAGUCUAAGACAGGACCAAAGCUUAAUAGAGAGUUAAACCUGUGUCCAGGUUAAAAAAACAAACAAAACAUUUACUUAUGCUGUAAGUAGGUAUGCACUUCUGUGUGCUUGCAUACAAGGAUACCACAUGGUGCUCACGGAGGUCACUGACUCGCACACGUUGGUUCUCUUUUUUCCACCAUGUGGGGCCCAGGGAUAGAAACCAGAAGUUUCACUCAUGGAGUCAUCUCUCUGGUCCCCACUUCCCGAUUUAAAGCCAAAAAAAUAAAUAAGCUCUGAUUGCCACCAGAAGUCAGACUCACUUGGGCUAAACCUCGUUUUUUUUGGCAAUAUCAGGUGCGUUGGGCUCUUUUGUACUCACAGAGCACACUUGGUUUUUAUUAUAUUGUGGUUUGCCCUGGAGUUAUCUGUAUUUUGGUGGUAAUUCCACUGCCCAAGGACAGCUUCUAGUCGUGUACUCAGGACUCAGGUGACUUCACCAGAAACUUCUCCCCUUUGAAUUCAUAAAAUACAGGUGAGGGGCAGGUACAGGAUAGAAGGAGGCCUGUCAUUGGAGGAGAAGGAAGGAUGGGCGGGAGAGAAGUGUGAAGGAGGAGGAGGAGACUGGAAUAGAAAGGAGGAGAGGAGAAAGGGAGAGACAAGUGGUGGCCGGACAAUGGAGGCUGACUUAAAGAUCUUGCUCUGUGUAUUUGCAGGUUGUUAUCAAAGUUCUUAAGGGAUGGAUGGCCCCAGGCUUUGUAUGUUUAAGUGGGCAAUUAAGUCAAAGAUUAUUGUGUUGUGUGUUAUUUUAUGUGACGGUUUGAGUGUAGGAAAGUGUGUGGCGGCAGGAGACACUGGGCCACCGUGGACUUGGAAUGUGUUUCCGCCAAGAUAUCUAGCAGAUAUCUUGGGGCACUGUGGUGUGGACCUAAGCGAGGUAAAAUACAAUAAUUUUUUUAUUUUUUAUAUUUUUACAACAACAUUAUUCUACUCCUAUCCAGAGACAAGAAGUGCAAACGGCUUCCAUUCAUACCAGGCUGUCUGCAGAUACCCAGCAAGAUGAACUCUGACCUGAGAGGCAAAGGAGUGGGGACUGAUGGGAUCUGGUGUGCAGUUUACACACCAAACAGUCCUUUCCUCUCCCGCUCAUUCCCCACCAGUAUGGAUGGUGACCCCUUUUUAAUUAGCCAGGGGUGUUACAUAGCAAAUGUGAGCUGUACGUUCUUCCUUCCCGGGUGAGCAGGAUUUGGAAUCAAUGCAUGUUGGAGAGCAGGAUUCGGAUCAAUACACUUUGACAGUGCCUCUUUCCGGGAAUCAGGGCAACAAAGGAUCCAAGGAUCUAGACUGAUUUCAGUGACUUUGCGGGAAGUGUCAAAGACAGGCACAGAGCAGCAAAAGGCCACAGUGAUCCUGCGAUGCCCUGGGUACAUUAGUGUUCAUGUAUGUGACUCAGGCCAGUUCGUGCAGAAGGAUGUGUCAAGGCAAGCUUGCCACUAUACAGGUGGGACAGGAAUACGUACUGAGGACUGUCCAUCACGUCUCACCCCGUAAGUCAGUAGUAGGCCCUCUGCGUUUAUUCUUGGGAGUGUCAUCCAGGAGCAUGCAAAGAAACUCACAGGAUCACGUGAAUAUUCGUAGAAAAAGAGCUGCAUACUACCUUUACGGUUAGAGUGAAUUUCUUCCCAGGUCACAGGCAUCAUUCAAUCUACUCUUGGUUAUGCUCCUUCUGAUUUCCUUUUAAUUAAGAAGUCUUGGUUUUCAGUCUCAGCUCUGCAACUCAUCAGUUAUUAGCUUUUUGGGAAAAGCCGAUAAACCCAAAUUUGCUUUUCCCUAGCCUUUAAAAGAGUGGGCAUUUUAUGUGGUAUUGGUGCCCAAAGCCUGUUUUUCUGAGGUUUUAUUUGGGAUUCUUCCAAACAGUAACAACAAGAUUCUCAACAUGUUAUUAUCCCUUGUGUGCGCAUGUGUGCAUGCGUGCCACGGAAUGCAUGUGGGAGCCACGGGACCAGUUUCAGGGAGGUGCAUGGUGUCAAACUUGGGUCAUGAGGUUCGUUCGCCAAUUGUUUUUUAGCUGCUGAGAGCUCCUGCGAGAUUCUUUCCAACACCUUUCACGCUACUUCUGUGCGGUGGCUGAAUGAGAGGGGAAGAUCCCAAAGAACUUCUGACCAGGCAGAGCGAGCCCUGUUCUGUACAGUUUCCGGACUGGAGAAGCCAGGCACUUUGCACAAGAAGAACACAGACAUGAAGGAUUUAAACUCUGGGCCUUCUUUGAGCAGCAGGAGAGGAAAGAGUUGAAGAGAGCCUUGCAGUCCCAACUUUAAUUCUUCUACAUGCCAGCCUGCAGUGGUCUAUCCCACCGGAAGCCUGCAGCGGUCUAUCCCACCGGAAGCCUGUAGUGGUCUAUCCCACCGGAAGCCUGCAGUGGUCUAUCCCACCGGAAGCCUGCAGCAAUCUGCAUCCCAUCGGAAGCCUACAGCGGUCCACAUCCAUGGCCUCCAUAGGCACAUGGGUCCGCAUCCCACUGGAAGGUCCUUCUGGUCUGCAUCCCAUCAGAAGGGACUCUCUCUUUCCUGGGAUUUUGUUUUUUCCCAUGGUGUGGUCAUGAGUACUUCCCUGGCAUGUGCGAGGUCCUGGAUUUGAUACUUGACACUACACAUACACAAAAGAGAAGUUAUUCUUGUUUUUACAUUCUUAUUUUUUCAUCUGCAGGAGGCAAAACAUUUGAAGUCGCUUUCUAAGCAGAAAUGUCACCUGCUUCAUCAUACUGAAUGUUUACAGGGGACCAUAGGCUGAGGUAUGCAUGCAAGGGUAGGUGCAGACCUGCGGGCUGCUGGGAUCUAUUCACUCGGCACAGUGGGAACACAGUCACGAGCCUCUUUUUUCUGUCCCUUCAGUGGGUGAGACAGGUGGCAGGACCAGAGGAGGGAAGGGACUUCCUGAAGUCACAUCCUUAGGGAAGAGGUAAAUUAAUUAUAGUUUGGGUUUUUCGGUCCUUAGAAAGUGGCUUUCCACCUGCCUUGUCCCCGCCAGAGCUCCCCUUUACACACUUGGAGGUUGUCAACACUCCAGGCCGCCCUGCGGCUGCCCUGCUCUUUGAGCUGUGCAUCUGUCCAGGGCUAUGUUGUCUGCUUCUGCGUCUGUAUAUCCUGCCCGUCCUUGGCAGAGUGUAACUCCAUUAAAUGUCACAUCCCCUGACCAAAUCGGGGUAUGACUAAAGAGCUAUUUGAAGGAAAUUCUCUUGAUGGCUUAAGAGGAAUCACUUGUAAUUACUUUCAUAUUAGGUGUCGGUGAACCAAUUAUUAAAAAAAAAAAAAUCACAAAUGGGACUGGAGGAAUGGCCCAGUGGUUAAAGCACUUGUCCUUCCACCGGACCUGAAUUCAGUUCCUGGUAUCCAUGUUGGGGAGCUGACUAUACAAGUCCAAUUCCAUGGGAUUCCACGCCUUCUUGUAGCUUCCGUGGGCACCCAUACACACAAGCAUGUACACGCAAAGAGACACAUACAACAUGUGAACACACAUGCACAUAAAAAUAAAAUUAAUGUUUACUUUUAGGAGGAAACAGUGGGAACAAGGAAGAGAAAUACACACACACACACUCACACAUACAUAGUGGCACUAUUAGAAGGUGUGGCCCUUUUGGAGUAGGUGUGUCACCGUGGGUGUGGGCUUUUAGACUCUCACCCUAGCUGCCUGGAAGCCAGUGUUCUGCUAGCAGCCUUCAGAUGAGGAUGUAGAACUCUCAGCUCCUCCUGCACCGUGCCUGCCUGGAUGCUGCCAUGUUCCCACCUUGAUGAUGAUGGACUGAACCUCUGAACCUGUAAGGCAGUCCCAAUGAAAUGCUGUCCUUUU